rnacentral:tRNA from 1 species
GGGCCGUUAGCUCAGUUGGUAGAGCACCGCCUUUGCAAGGCGGGGGUCUAGGGUUCGAAUCCCUAACGGUCCACCA